CUGUAGAAUCCUGAUAUUUCCUGCCUGGAUAUGUACUUUCAGUUUGUUCUAUAUUCAAGAUUUAGUGUAAGAACACCACUUUGGUUUCUAGAAGAGUGGUACAAAUGGGAAACCAUUGUAACAACUGUUCUUGUCAAGUUUGGUUUCUGACUGCACCUAAAUCCAUGUAAAACCAGUCACUCUGCUUGUAUCCCAGUCACCAAGGCUUUGCUUUUUCCCUGAAUGACACACAGUUGUCCUCUGCACACAGGCAGCAUGUUACAAUAGUGCUGGAAAGCUUCCAAAACUGUAACUGGUAAUUAAAGUCACACCCUGUCAUGAAAAUAUGCACCCUCCAGACCUGCUUAAAAUUCAGGCUACAAAAACGAUACCCAGUGUGAUCACUUCUGUAUUUGCAAUUUUGUUAAAAAUAUUUUUUUGUUCUUUUCUGGUUGGCCUUUAGGAAGCUCUCUUGAAAAGGAGGCAGUAGGGUUUUGGGUUUGGUUUUGUUUUUUGUUUGAGGAGUGAUAUGAAAAAGUACAAGAAUGCAUAUUUAAUUUCUGGUCUGAUGCUGGUGUUUUGGUAUCCUCAGAAGAUGCUCUCAUCCUGACAAGAUUCAUGUGAUGCAGAUAAAUACAUUAUUUUAUUUAGCUGUGAAACACAUGGUGGUGCUCAAUCCUAAUGUUACUAAAUGCAAAGUGGCAAAGUAAUUUGACUAAAACCAUGUAAUUACAGUUCAAAGCCCAAGCAGCACAAUCUUUAUACUGAGGGAAGUGUUUUCAUGGUGGGACUCUCUGGGUUUGCACUGUGGUAAAUUAGCAGGGCAAGGAGAAAGGAAGAACAGUGGGAAAAUUUGAAAGCAAAUGCAUGUUCCCUUUCACCUUGAUGUGCUCUGCUACAUCCUGGGAUGCUCCAGGGUGACAUAAAAGAAGUGGCUGCAUGUCAGAUUGAUGCCUGCUGGCUCCCUUCCUGUGCUUCAUGUUCACAUCACGCAUUUCUGAUCCUUUUGUGCAAUAUGCUCCUGUGCAUAAGUACUGAAGCCCAGGAGCUCAUCUCCUAAAUUGCUGUUCAUGCUGCAUAUAAGAGAGCAAAAUUCCUACUAGCAGCUCUGGGAGAUGCUGGGUAAGAGUCCUUUGAAAUCAUCAUUUAAAGCUGAAAACUGUGGGAACCUCAAAAGGUUGCUUUGAGAAUUAAGAGAUUAGAUCACAUCUCUGUGAUAGAAGGAGUUGGAAAGCAAAAGCGGAUGACAUUGCAGGGCUGAGAGGUGCUAAGUAUUUGUUUAUUCAGUGGCUUUAAUGGGGGAGAGUCAGUGCAGAUGUUAAUGUGCUGCAGACUACGAAGGGGCCAAUAGCAUAGAUUUCAAAAUCUUAAAAGUUUUGGUUUUGUUUCUUUUUUUUUUUUUUUAAUUUCUUUUUGGUUCAGAAAACUUGAAUAUGCAACAGCCUUUCUACCCCAGUUCUAAGCCAUGUUUGAAAAAAAAUCUAGAGCAGAGCCCAUAUUCUCCACUAAGAAUAGAAUAUUCCUUAAAAUAUAUUUUGGUACCAGUGUAUUUUGUACUCUUAGUCUGUUUUAUAUUUUUUGCUUUCCCCUAAUGCCUUUUUUUUUUAUGAUUUCUUAUGACACUUUAUUGCUUUUUCCCAGUCCUCCUUCUCUGGUUUAUAAUUUGUUCUAAGCAGGUGGUAAAAGCAGCAAUGUCUGACAAUGUCAAACUUUGUAAGUCUGAUACCAUCCAAGUGUUUGCAGCCUGGUGAGUGCAGCUCUGCUCAUCAGCAGUGACUGCAGCAGAGCAGCCAGCGGGGUGUGCUGGCCACUGCCAUCCCUGUGCCCCAGAAAUGCAGCAUUUGAGUGUUCCCUGUGAUUCUGAGUCACGGUGACUCCGGGCACAACUCCGAGCGCCGCAUUCCCAGAGUUCAGUAAUGCUUCAGGAGCUGCCAGCCUGGUUGGAGGCUCAGAAAUGUCUCCAGUUUGAAGUGAAGCACAUUUUCAGGUUAUCACUAAUACAGUCUCUGUCUCAGCUGUUUUGUCAGUAAAGAGGAGGUUAGAAUAUUAUUUAUGUAGUUUCCUUACAGGAGUUUUUUCAGGAUUAUUUAGUGAGUGUUGGCACUGAGAGAUGCUAUAAAUACUAGAGGCUUGUUCCCCUGUACCAUAUGAUUUUCCACCUCCUGAAUGCAACUGUUAUUCUUCUGCCACUAUUCAGCCCAAUGAUUUUUAUUUUAUUUACUUCGAUUCUUUGUAUUCUAGAUUAUGCCCCACUGGCAAGGGAUCUUGGGAAAGAACUGUGAUGCUUUUGUUCACCAAACAAAACCUGAUUCAUCCCUUUCCUUACAUCACCACGCAGCUCUCCAGCUUCCCAACACAGAGACUGCUCUGGCUUUCCUUUAGUGAAUGGGAUAAAAUUGCAAGAAGGAAACACAAAGGCUUUGAGGGCUGGCUGCCACCAGUAUUAUACACGAGGUACCAAAUUAGGUUUCACAGGCAAUGUUAAUUUUUGCAUUAGUUAACUUUUUGUCCAAUAACCUCAUUAAGACAUUCCUUUGCUUUUGCAUAUGUAUGUAUGAAUAUUUUUUAAAACAAUGGUUUAUAAAAAGCUUCAAAUAAAACUACUCGUUAUUGUCCA